rnacentral:lncRNA from 1 species
UGAGAUUCCCGUAAACUCGAUAUAUGUAUCCGAAAAGGCGCAACAAGCACCUUCGAGGAGAGCUUAUGUGACGUUUUUGGCAGGAAAUGGAGACUACGUGAAGGGAGUGGUGGGAUUAGCAAAAGGUUUGCGUAAGGUCAAAAGUGCUUAUCCUCUUGUUGUUGCUAUGUUACCUGACGUGCCUGAGGAACAUAGAGAAAUCUUGAGGUCUCAAGGCUGCGUUGUUCGUGAGAUCGAGCCUGUUCAUCCUCCAGACAACCAAGUUGAGUUUGCCAUGGCGUAUUACGUCCUCAACUACUCAAAACUACGUAUUUGGAACGUAAGUGUAUAUUUCGAUUCUUCACAAAACCUUGGCUAAGAUGUAAUAUUAUAGUUUAAGUUCUUUGUGGUUUUUCCUUACCUUUAAAGACUUCUUGCAGUUUGAAGAGUACAGCAAGAUGAUAUACCUUGACGCAGAUAUCCAAGUCUUUGACAAUAUCGAUCACCUGUUCGAGUUA